GUGCUCAUUUCAGCAGCACAUAUACUAAAAUUGGAACCAUACAGAGAAGAUUAGCAUGGCCCAUGCACAAGGAUGACACGCAAAUUCGUGAAGCCUUCCAUAUUUUU
ensembl:snRNA U6 U6 spliceosomal RNA